rnacentral:rRNA from 1 species
UACGGGGGGGGGCAAGCGUUGUUCGGAAUUACUGGGCGUAAAGGGCUCGUAGGCGGCCAACUAAGUCGGACGUGAAAUCCCUCGGCUUAACCGGGGAACUGCGUCCGAUACUGGAUGGCUAGAGUGUGGGAGAGGGAUGCGGAAUUCCUGGUGUAGCGGUGGAAUGGCGCAGAUAUCAGGAGGAACACCGGUGGCGAAGGCGGGUCUGCUGGCAGUAACUGACGCUGGAGGAGCGAAAGCGUGGGAGCGAACAGG